CAGGGACAGCCUGCUCGAGCGGCCGCGGCGGGGCUCCCCUAUUCCCACGGCAGGGGAGCUGCGGAGUUGGGGAGGGCAGGUGAGUGGCGAGGGGUGAACGCGGGGGAGCGAGAGAGAGAACGGGUGCGUGAGCAGUGGAGGAGGUCUAGUAGCGGCUCGCGCCAGCAACGGCGAGCGGAGUGAGACGGUACCGGUCGUCCGUGUAGAGCGGAGCGGCAACACAGGUGUUUCUUGCGGCAGCAGGCAACGUAGAUGAUGCCUCUGCUUUGCUCGGCCUUGGGGAAGGUAGCAGCUCGGCCGGGAGAAGAAGGUGGAGGCCGGUGGCUUCCGGCGGCGGCAGCAAGACGACGUGGCUCGGAGGGGGCUCGGGCGAGUACGUGUAGACGUCCAGGCGCUACCACCUCAGGUCCUCGGUCUACGGUGGAAACUGCUGACGAUGAUGUGGCUCCCGCAGAUGAUGGUGCACUGCCUCUGGCGGCUACUGGUCCUCAUCAAUCCUCCGAGGGUCCGUCUUCCGGAACGGAAAAGCUAGUAUCUACGAAAACACGAUCGGAAGAAUUCCGUUUGAACAGAUUGAAUACAGACAUGAGUCUAUAACAACGAAAGUGACUGAGAACACAAAAGCUCGAAUACAUAAGCUCGGGAGCUCCGGGGACCGAACAUUAUAUUUCGAACAUAAAAAAAUUAAACACAGAUCUCAACACAACACUGUAGAAGGGCACUCAGGAACUAGAACUG
rnacentral:rRNA from 1 species